AAUGAACGCUGGCGGCAGGCCUAACACAUGCAAGUCGAACGGAUCCUUCGGGAUUAGUGGCGGACGGGUGAGUAACGCGUGGGAACAUACCCUUUGGUACGGAAUAGCCUCGGGAAACUGGGAGUAAUACCGUAUGUGGUCGAGAGACGAAAGAUUUAUCGCCAAAGGAUUGGCCCGCGUUGGAUUAGGUAGUUGGUGGGGUAAUGGCCUACCAAGCCGACGAUCCAUAGCUGGUUUGAGAGGAUGAUCAGCCACACUGGGACUGAGACCCGGCCCAGACUACUACGGGAGGCAGCAGUGGGGAAUCUUAGACAAUGGGGGAAACCCUGAUCUAGCCAUGCCGCGUGAUCGAUGAAGGCCUUAGGGUUGUAAAGAUCUUUCAGGUGGGAAGAUAAUGACUGUACCACCAGAAGAAACCCCGGCUAACUCCGUGCCAGCCGCCGCGGUAA
rnacentral:rRNA from 1 species